UUAGCCGUCUAAGGCAGUAUUAGAAAAUUUUUAAUAUAUCUGAUACUGUAAAAGACAGCUAA
rnacentral:pre_miRNA from 14 species